GUGCCAGCAGCCGCGGUAAUACCGGCAGCCCAAGUGAUGGCCGAUCUUAUUGGGCCUAAAGCGUCCGUAGCUGGCCGCACAAGUCCAUCGGGAAAUCCACCUGCUCAACAGGUGGCCGUCCGGUGGAAACUGUGUGGCUUGGGACCGGAAGGCGCGACGGGUACGUCCGGGGUAGGAGUGAAAUCCCAUAAUCCCGCACGGACCACCGAUGGCGAAAGCACUUCGAGAAAACGGAUCCGACAGUGAGGGACGAAAGCCAGGGUCUCCAACCGGAUUAGAAACCCGAGUAGUCC
rnacentral:rRNA from 1 species